rnacentral:miRNA from 1 species
GAAGCAUACGAAGGCGGAACCUC